GGAUUUAAGUCCAGACUUUGACUAGGCCACUUCAAACAAGGUGGUGUUUUGUUAAUUACAGCAUUGAAUAAUAAUCAGCCAACGUGGAAACAGUAAACUCAGCAUCGCACAGAUCCAGAACCGGACUGGACUCGACCCGGUUCAGAACUGCCCCAACAGGCCAGGAGGGAGAUGCCUURCUGGGCCCGGUGGUUCCCCUGUGUUUGCUCUGGUUUUGGGUGGUAUCAGCCGGCCCGUCUCUCCUUACUCAGCUCUGGCUCACUGCUGAUGGAACCGGGCCCAAAAGCAGUCCUGGUCCUGGAGGGCCGGAGUUCUGCAGCUCUUAGUGUUUCCAACAGCUGGAUCUCCUCCUCAGUCCAGUCCGGUUCUGCUAACGACCUCAUGAUUUGACUCAGUCAGUGACAGCUGCUUCAAGAACCUGGCAGAAGACAGGAGUGGAGUGAACCUGAAGGACCUGGUCCACGACCCGUCACUGCUGGGAGGAGUGAUUGCGGCCUACAAAAUAGUUCCAGAUGAGAUCGAGGAAAUCAAGGAAACUCUUCUGGAGUGGUGUGAUGAGCAGGAGCUGAAUCUUAUUCUGACCACAGGAGGAACUGGUUUUGCACCACGAGACGUUACACCAGAGGUACCAGUACAGGCCGACACUCCCUGCUUCAGAUGAACCCACCCUGAYGGUUCCCAGUUCCACUCACCAGCAAGUCCACAGGCUGCAGCACCAACCUAAACAUUACCGUGGCAGAAACGAUCCUAGUAGCAUGUCGGAAGGCUGCUAGCAUGUAGCGUGAAGCCAGGCAGAUGG